GACGGAGGGUGCAAGCGUUGUUCGGAUUGACUGGGCGUAAAGGGCGUGUAGGCGGUUGGUCAAGUCUGGUGUGAAAGCCCGGGGCUCAGCCUCGGAAGUGCAUCGGAAACUAGCCAGCUAGAGCGCGGUAGAGGAGGGUGGAAUUCCUGGUGUAGCGGUGAAAUGCGUAGAUAUCAGGAGGAACACCGGCGGCGAAGGCGGCCCUCUGGACCGUUGCUGACGCUGAGACGCGAAAGCGUGGGGAGCAAACAGG
rnacentral:rRNA from 1 species